CCUACGGGUGGCAGCAGUGAGGAAUAUUGGUCAAUGGGCGCGAGCCUGAACCAGCCAAGUAGCGUGAAGGAUGACUGCCCUACGGGUUGUAAACUUCUUUUAUAAAGGAAUAAAGUGAGGCACGUGUGCCUUUUUUUAUGUAUUUUAUGAUUAAGGAUCGGCUAACUCUGUGUCAGCAGCGGCGGUAAUACGGAGGAUCCGCGCGUUAUCCGGAUUUAUUGGGUUUAAAGGGAGCGUAGAUGGGUUGUUAUGUCAGUUGUGAAAGUUUGCGGCUCAACCGUAAAAUUGCAAUUGAUACUGGCAGCCUUGAGUACAGUUGGGGUAGGCGGAAUUCGUGGUGUAGCGGUGAAAUGCUUAGAUAUCACGAAGAACUCCGAUUGCGAAGGCAGCCUACUAAACUGCCACUGACAUUGAGGCUCGAAAGUGUGGGUAUCAAACAGGAUUAGAUACCCCUGUAGUC
rnacentral:rRNA from 1 species